rnacentral:rRNA from 1 species
UGGGGAAUAUUGCACAAUGGGCGCAAGCCUGAUGCAGCCAUGCCGCGUGUGUGAAGAAGGCCUUCGGGUUGUAAAGCACUUUCAGCGAGGAGGAAGGUGGUGAGCUUAAUACGCUCAUCAAUUGACGUUACUCGCAGAAGAAGCACCGGCUAACUCCGUGCCAGCAGCCGCGGUAAUACGGAGGGUGCAAGCGUUAAUCGGAAUUACUGGGCGUAAAGCGCACGCAGGCGGUUUGUUAAGUCAGAUGUGAAAUCCCCGGGCUCAACCUGGGAACUGCAUUUGAAACUGGCAAGCUAGAGUCUCGUAGAGGGGGGUAGAAUUCCAGGUGUAGCGGUGAAAUGCGUAGAGAUCUGGAGGAAUACCGGUGGCGAAGGCGGCCCCCUGGACGAAGACUGACGCUCAGGUGCGAAAGCGUGGGGAGCAAAACAGGAUUAGAUACCCUGGUAGUCCACGCUGUAAAACGAUGUCGAUUUUGGAGGUUGUGCCCUUGAGGCGUGGCUUCCGGAGCUAACGCGUUAAAUCGACCGCCUGGGGAGUACGGCCGCAAGGUUAAAACUCAAAGG